rnacentral:rRNA from 1 species
UACGUAGGGUGCGAGCGUUGUCCGGAAUUAUCGGGCGUAAAGAGCUUGUAGGCGGUUUGUCGCGUCUGCUGUGAAAAUCCGGGGCUCAACCCCGGACUUGCAGUGGGUACGGGCAGACUAGAGUGUGGUAGGGGAGACUGGAAUUCCUGGUGUAGCGGUGAAAUGCGCAGAUAUCAGGAGGAACACCGAUGGCGAAGGCAGGUCUCUGGGCCACUACUGACGCUGAGAAGCGAAAGCAUGGGGAGCAAACGGG